CCUCUGAUAGCUCAAACGGUAGAGCGCUCAGUAACUGUGCCAGUGCAUGACCCGCUAAAAUCUCAGAGAUGCUGGUUCGGGUCCAGCUCAGAGGA